ACGGAGCAGCACUGCCGCGCUGAGCCAUGGACAGUACAGUGGUAGCAGUUGGGCUGACCAUUGCUACUGCAGGAUUUGCGGGCCAUUAGGUUUUACAAGCCAUGAAGCAUAUGGAGCUUCUAGUAAAACGAGUUUUUCAAAGCCUACCAAAAUCUGCCUUCAGCAGUGGCUAUUACAGAGGUGGAUUUGAACCCAAAAUGACAAAACGGGAAGCAGCAUUAAUACUAGGUGUAAGCCCUAAUGCCAAUAGAGGUAAGAUAAGAGAGGCUCAUGGACGAAUUAUGCUCUUAAGUCACCCAGACAAAGGAGGAUCGCCUUACAUAGCAGCCAAAAUCA